AGUGAACGCUGGCGGUAGGCCUAACACAUGCAAGUCGAACGGCCGCACAGUAAGAGCUUGCUCUUACGGGUGGCGAGUGGCGGACGGGUGAGGAAUACACCGGAAUCUACUUUUUCGUGGGGGAUAACGUAGGGAAACUUCCGCUAAUACCGCAUACGACCUACGGGUGAAAGCAGGGGAUCUUCGGACCUUGCGCGAUUGAAUGAGCCGAUGUCGGAUUAGCUAGUUGGCGGGGUAAAGGCCCACCAAGGCGACGAUCCGUAGCUGGUCUGAGAGGAUGAUCAGCCACACUGGAACUGAGACACGGUACAGACUCCUACGGGAGGCAGCAGUGGGGAAUAUUGGACAAUGGGCGCAAGCCUGAUCCAGCCAUACCGCGUGAGUGAAGAAGGCCUUCGGGUUGUAAAGCCCUUUUGUUGGGAAAGAAAAGAAGCAGGUUAAUACCCCGCUGUUCUGACGGUACCAAAAGAAUAAGCACCGGCUAAUUUCGUG
rnacentral:rRNA from 1 species